rnacentral:rRNA from 1 species
CCUACGGGCGGCAGCAGUGGGGGAUAUUGCACAAUGGGGGGAACCCUGAUGCAGCGACGCCGCGUGGGUGAAGAAGCGCCUCGGCGCGUAAAGCCCUGUCAGCAGGGAAGAAAAUGACGGUACCUGAAGAAGAAGCCCCGGCUAACUACGUGCCAGCAGCCGCCGUAACACGUAGGGGGCAAACGUUAUCCGGAUUUACUGGAGGGAAAGGGGGCGCAGACGGCGAUGCAAGCCAGGAGUGAAAGCCCGGGGCCCAACCCCGGGACUGCUCUUGGAACUGCGUGGCUGGAGUGCAGGAGGGGCAGGCGGAAGUCCUGGUGUAGCGGUGAAAUGCGUAGAUAUCAGGAGGAACACCGGUGGCGAAGGCGGCCUGCUGGACUGCAACUGACGUUGAGGCCCGAAAGCGUGGGGAGCAAACAGGAUUAGAUACCCCAGUAGUC